rnacentral:lncRNA from 1 species
CAGCCGGCGCCCCCCCAGGCAGGCAGGUCACCUCGGACUUGGGGGCCACCCCCGGCCCUCACCUGGCUUAGACCCCAGUGGACGUAUUUAUUCUACUUUGGAGAAAAUAAAACUGUCGAGAUUUGCAAACUGAAGACAGGACCAUGGUCUUGGGCGAAGAAGCGGAUUUGGGUGACAGACCCGUCGUUCACCUCUCAAGCGCUCCCCGGCCUGGGGCCCCCCGACUCUCCUCCGCAGUCUGAGGAAGGUCCGGACCGUGGCAGGGGACCCGUGUGUCACAGCUCUGCUGACCGCCCAGGGCCGGGGCCCGGGCACGAGCCACCCCGCAGGCUGGGGGACAGGCCGGACAGGCCGGCGACAGGGCGGGCGGCCCUCGGGGCGGAGCAGGGAGCUGUGCGCCCGGGGGGAGCUGUGGGACCGGGCCGCCACCCUGUCCCCCGCCCCGAGGACAAGAGCCCCACGGCCCCCCCUCCGCCGGCUGCGGCCCUCGGGACAGGACCCGCCCGCCGAGGACAGCGCAGGCGUCGGUGGCCGGGCCUGGGGCCGGGGGCCCCGCCUCAGCAAGGCGGCCGGGACGCAGGGGAGGCCCGGGAGGCCCUGGACCCGGGCCCGCGGAGGCGGCCACCGGGAGGACCGGCCUCCCUGGGCUCCGUGGCCCUCGGGGACCCAGGCCCAGGAGCAGCCUCGCGGGAAGGGACGAGCGUGUUGGCCGAGCCUCCCGGGCUGACCUGCCGCCCGCAGAUGCUGCUCCGGGGACGCGCCGCGAGGUGGCCCCUGGUGCCGCCUCGUCCCGCACGGCGAUGGCUCGAGGCAGGGCCGCCUCCUGCUGGGACAGGACUUAGGACAAGCUCACGAGCUCCUGCGGUCUCCUCCGCGCCGCCUACGGCCCGGGGAGCUGGAAACCCCGACUUCCCCACGCGGCCCGGGGACAGGGAGCGGCCCCACGUCCAGGGCGGGCGGAAGCUUCCUUCACGCUCAAGACUCGGUGUCGGUUUCCCUAGAGCAUCUGGGACACUUCUGUCCCGUGGGGAAUUUUGUCACUUUUAG